rnacentral:rRNA from 1 species
UACGUAGGCAGCGAGCGUUGUUCGGAGUUACUGGGCGUAAAGGGUGUGUAGGCGGUUGUUUAAGUUUGGUGUGAAAUCUCCCGGCUCAACUGGGAGGGUGCGCCGAAUACUGAAUGACUUGGAGUGCGGGAGAGGAAAGUGGAUUUCCUGGUGUAGCGGUGAAAUGCGUAGAUAUCAGGAGGAACACCGGUGGUGUAGACGGCUUUCUGGACCGUAACUGACGCUGAGACACGAAAGCGUGGGUAGCAAACAGG